rnacentral:rRNA from 1 species
AUUGAACGCUGGCGGCAGGCCUAACACAUGCAAGUCGAGCGGGGUUUUCGGACCUAGCGGCGGACGGGUGAGUAAUGCGUAGGAAGCUGCCCGAUAGAGGGGGAUACCAGUUGGAAACGACUGUUAAUACCGCAUAAUGUCUACGGACCAAAGUGUGGGACCUUCGGGCCACACGCUAUCGGAUGCGCCUACGUGGGAUUAGCUAGUUGGUGAGGUAAUGGCUGACCAAGGCGACGAUCCCUAGCUGGUUUGAGAGGAUGAUCAGCCACACUGGAACUGAGACACGGUCCAGACUCCUACGGGAGGCAGCAGUGGGGAAUAUUGGACAAUGGGCGCAAGCCUGAUCCAGCCAUGCCGCGUGUGUGAAGAAGGCCUUCGGGUUGUAAAGCACUUUCAGUGGGGAGGAAGCGUUGUGUGUUAAUAGUACACAGCGUUGACGUUACCUACAGAAGAAGCACCGGCUAACUCUGUGCCAGCCGCCGCGGUAAGAC